rnacentral:lncRNA from 10 species
AAUAGAAUGAAUUUCCAAUGAGCUGAGCAGAGGAUGUUGGCUUUAGAGAGAGACAAGGGCUGAAGAAAGCAGAUUGGUCAUUUCCACGACAGGAGAAUGCAAUGAUCCAGCCUCCAGUUCAUCAACGUGAAAUGCUGAGAAUGCAGCCAUGUUAGGCUGCCAGAAUGGACUCCAUGUUGCCUUCAGCUGAGCUAAACUCUGAAACGAUGGUUUCAGCAGAAGUGUUACAAAAGAGGCCCCAGAGAGCUGCCUUGUCCUUUCCACAAUGUGAAGAUACAGCAAGAAGAUGCAGUUUCUAUGAACAAGGAAACAGGCCCUCACCAGAUAGCCAAUCUGCGGUGCUUUGAUCUUGCACUUCCCAGCCUCUAGGACUGUGAGAAAUAAAUUUCUUUUGUUUAUAUUCUACC